AUAUAUAUAAACCAUACAAGAUCUAUCAAAAAAAUAAAUAUUCAAGAACCCAAAACAUACAAAUGGAUAUAAAACAAUUGGAUUUAAAGUUCAAAGUGUACUUGAUGAAAGCAACAUGACAAGGAUUCAUCCAUCACCCUUUGCUAAAGGAUUUAGCAAGACAUUACAAACAUCAACAUCCCUCCCUUUUCUCUCUCUCUAUUUUUUUUCUUAUUUUUAUUUUCGGAAACAGGGCAUCCCCUGUUUCCUUUUCACUUCUUCUUUCUUGUUUUCUUCCCCUGCAGCAGCCCGACGCCCCUGUUUUCUUUCCUUCGAUCCCCCCCAAAAUGAGCCACAUGAACCGAUCCCCCCUGUUCCUUUUUAUACAAUGAAAACCUCCCCAAAUUUUGAAUAAUCUUCCAAGCAAAUCAAAACGGACGCUGGAAUCUGGGACUCAGAUGCUGCGAAAAUCGCUGGGACUCGGAUGAUGCGCUGGUGGGGAGGAAGA
rnacentral:lncRNA from 1 species